AUGCCAAUGUCUUCCCAAGAAACCAAAAUGGCACUGCUUGGAAACCUAACGACAGGCAUCCGCCAGGUCCGGCAGGCGCAGCGCGCGGACGGCCCAGCGUGCGUUCUGGCCAUCGGGACGGCGAACCCGGCGAACUGCGUGCAGCAGGAGGAGUACGCCGACUACUACUUCCGCGUCACCAACAGCGAGCACCUCACCGAGCUCAAAGCCAAGCUCAACCGGAUAUGUACCAAAUCGGCCAUCAAGAAGCGCUACUUCCACCACACGGAGGAACUGCUGCAGGGUCACCCUGAGUUCCUCGACCGCACGUUGCCAUCCCUGAAAGCCCGGCUGGACAUCACGGCCACCGCCGUUCCCGAGCUCGCGGCAGCCGCGGCGGCUGCAGCUAUCGCCGAGUGGGGCCGCCCGGCCGCCGACAUCACACACCUCGUGGUCGGCACCUACGCCAGCGCCCACAUGCCGGGCGCCGACCACCGUUUGGCCUCCCUCCUCGGCCUCGACCCGUCAGUCCGCACCACCAUGCUCUACGUCAACGGCUGCGCCAGCGCGUGCGCCGCGCUCCGGGUCGCCAAGGACAUCGCCGAGAACAACCGCCGCGCGCGCGUCCUCGUCGCCUGCGCCGAGCUCACUCUCAUCAUGUUCCGCGCUCCCCAGGAAGGGCACCUUGACACGAUCAUCUCGCAGGCGCUGCUCAGCGACGGCGCGGGAGCCAUGAUCAUCGGCGCCGACCUCGAGGGCUCGGAGGGCUCGCUUUUCGAGAUGGUGGCCGCGUCACAGACCGUGGUACCGGCGACGGCACACGCCGCAGUUGGACAGUUUGGCGAAGAGGGGUUCCUGUUCCACCCUUGCAUCGAGAUGCCAGCGAUAGUUCGCCAGAACGUCGAGCGGUGCCUGGUUGACGCGCUCGGGCCGCUUGGCUUGAGCGGUCGCUGGAACGACCUCUUUUGGGCGGUGCAUCCCGGAGGGCGAGCAAUCUUAGACGGCGUGGAGGAGGUACUCCAGUUGGAGCCCAAGAAGCUGGCGGCAAGCAGACAUGUGCUGAGCGAGUACGGCAACAUGUCCGGGGUGUCCGUCAUCUUUGUGCUGGACGAGAUCCGGCGCCGCCAUGACGAGCACCGCGGUCUGGGGGUAAUGCUGGGAAUUGGACCGGGGCUCUGCCUGGAGACGAUGGUGUUGCACGCAUGCAUGUAA
rnacentral:rRNA from 1 species